GGCUAGGCCCAUGGCAGUGGGUUAUCAGAACCUAUUAACAUUACUGUCAUUAAAGUUGGUAUACGCUCCCCCGCUGCUAAUUAGGCUGGCUUUAA
ensembl:misc_RNA Y_RNA Y RNA